ensembl:lncRNA
CUGGUAGCUUUUGAACCUUGACCAGGCCUGUAUGUCAUUGAUUAUAGGUGAUGUUCUGAUUUGAAUUUGACGAGUCUUGUCAUAACAGUCCCAAGCCAUUUAAUGAAGUCAACUGUACAGAUAAACAGAAGGGAAAAGAAAUAUGAGGUCAUAUAUUUAUUUUCACUGACAUUCACACUGGACGUGUGUUUCUGAACACCAGAUAAAGGAAAACACAGAAAACCACCUGAUCAACAGAACACAGUGCAGGCAGCAUAAAGGUUGGAUCAGUUCUGAGGGCAGGAGGUCAAAAGACAUGCUCAGAAGAAACAGAGUGAAGAGAAUCAGACUCUCAUCAGCCUUUUGUUUUGUUAUAUUCUGAAACACCAGUUCAGUUAAUUGUCCUUCCCGGGGUGAUCUUGUAGCCUGACCAGAGAGAUUGGCCCAGUCAGCGAUGUAUUCAGGGGGUUGAGAGAGCUGGGAAGAAGAAAGGUUUUCAUCAUCACAUUGUUACUGUGCAGGGUAGUCAGACAGUUCAGUUCUGCUUCGCUCAUGAAUGUGCGUCUCAUUUGCAGACCCAGCGUGUUUCCUCCCCCCUCCUGAACACCCAUCAGCUCAUUCAGCCAGCUACCUGCGAGAGGCAAGGCACACCCCGGGUGGAAAAACACUUCAAAUGGCUACUUCACCUCCAGAGGUGCCGACAUAGAGAAUGCGAACAUCUGAGCAUUAUUCAGCAUCAUUUAGCAUUACGUUAUUCAGCGCCACAGCGAACCGAGGCACCCGUGCUGCGUCACCAUGGAUACGCAGUGACAGACACGCAGAGACGAGUACAGGUGCAACGGGAGAUCGUUGCGAUCACACCGAACAUCCUCCGAUCCGACGGUAUUACGGCCAAGUCCAAGACGCCGAUAUGCAAUCAAUACAACAUUGCAUUGUUUGUGAUAAUCACUGUGGUCAUACAUUAUGGCGUACACGUUAGUCGUUCGCGUUUUAAUUAGCAUGUUGUACAGUACUUAUAAAUAAAAGGUCAGUGGUUGUUAAAAAUGGAAGGUGAUUAUGAGUGUUCAAAGCAGAAUGUUCAAGCAGGUCAGGCUGGUAGACAGGAUAGCAACACCAGUGAUUUACACACAGAAACAUCUACUAAAACAAUGAAUGAACACAAUAAAUGGGUUAUAAAGGUGAGAUGCCAUUUAGGAUAAGUUGGGCCCCAAAACCUUUCUACUUUUUAAAAUGUAUUAUUGUGUAGGCCUAUUUGUGUUGUCAUUUUCCCCAGUUAUGUUACCAGGUAAGAAAGCAAAGUACAUACUUCUUAUUUACAGCAACGACCUGGAAGCAGUUAAGAGUUAGCUGUGUUGCUCAAGGACAGAACGACAGUUCACAUAAAUACAGACCUAGAAGUAUGCUGUUACUCUGUUCUAGGCUGUAGCAGCAGCCAAGUUGUGUUUUCAACAUCUUUUCAAUUCCUUUCCAACCAACAGCUAAGUAUUCUCCACGUCUUGCUCUCUUAGGGAGAGCUGUGUCUGAAGUUGUGCUCAUAUAGACAGCUGAUGCUGGAGGACCCACAGAGUGUGAAAUAGAUCCACGGGCAAGCCAGGCUACAGCACUAAUACGGUUAUAAGCCUGCCGGCCGAAUCCACCGUCACUCUCU